rnacentral:lncRNA from 1 species
GCCUUGGACCAGGUGGGAUAGGAGCAGGGGUUCUUGCUGGGAAGGCUGGGUACCCCACUGGGACAGGUGUUGGAGCACAGGCGGCAGCAGCAAAAGCGGCAGCUAAAUAUGGAGCCGGUGUCCUGCCUGGGGCUGGCGGCAUCCCAGGGGUGGGCGGCGUGGUGCCCGGUGUCGGUGUUGUUCCAGGAGCUGGAGUGGGAGGCCCGGCAGCGGCAGCAGCUGCAGCGAAGGCAGCAGCGAAAGCAGGAGCCUAUGGUGCAGGGGUGCUGCCCGGGGUCGGAGGUGUCCCAGGUCUUGUGCCUGGUGUCGGCGGUGUGCCUGGCUUGGUUCCUGGUGUCGGAGGUGUCCCUGGGGUGGCAGGAGUUGGGACACCAGCAGGAGCAGCAGCAGCAGCCAAGGCAGCUAAGUAUGGAGCUGGCGUUCCCGGUGUUGGCGUUCCCGGCGUUGGCGUUCCUGGCGUUGGCAUUGGAGGCGUGCCUGGUGUGCCUGGUGUGCCUGGUGUACCUGGUGUGCCUGGUGUACCUGGUGUGCCUGGUGUUCCUGGUGUGGCUGGUGUUCCUGGUGUGGUACCUGGCGUUGGAGGUGAGCAGAUGGGCUGGCAUGAGGGGACAACAUGGUGCCAGCUUCGCCAGUUCCCCUGACACCCUCUCUUCUGUUCCUGCAGUGGGUGGCCCAGCAGCUGCUGCUGCAGCAAAGGCUGCAGCAAAAGCAGCCGCAUUUGGAGCAGGGCGUGUGCCUGGGGUCGGCGUGCCUGGCGGUGUGCCUGGGGUCGGUGUACCAGGAGUCGGUGUUCCUGGAGUCGGAGUACCUGGAAUUGGUGUACCUGGAGUUGGAGUACCUGGGGUCGGUGUUCCCGGAGUUGGCGUACCCGGUCUGGUGCCUGGAGCUGGCCCAGCUGCUGCUGCUAAAGCAGCUGCCAAAGCUGCCAAGUACGCAGGAGCAGGUGGCUUGGCACCUGGCGUGGGAGGUCUGGCACCUGGCAUAGGAGGUCUGGCACCUGGUGUGGGAGGCCUUGCUCCUGGUGUAGGUGGCCUUGCUCCUGGUGUAGGUGGCCUGGCCCCUGGCGUUGGAGGUGUUCCAGGUGUUGGAGGUCCAGCAGCAGCCGCAAAAGCAGCAGCUAAGGCAGCCAAAUACGGUGCUGGUGUUGGAGGGGUGCCGGGUGCUGUGCCCGGUGCUCCUGGUGUGCCAGGAGUGACACCUGGCAUCGGUGGUGUGCCCGGCUUAGUGCCAGGCGUAGGGGUGCCCGGUGCCGGCGUUCUCCCCGGAGCAGGCAUCCCUCAGGUCGGGGUGCAGCCUGGUGCUAAGCCUCCCAAAUUCGGUGUGCCCGGGGCUGGGGUCCCAGGGGUCGGUGGCAUCCCAGGUGGCCUCGGAGUUGGUGGCCUUGGAGUUGGUGGCCUCGGUGCUGGGGCUGGAGUUCCCGGUUUUGGUGUGUCACCGAUAUUUCCAGGUGGGGUUGGUGGCCAGCUGGGAUUUGGCGGGAAGCCCCCCAAGACCUACGGAGGAGCCCUGGGGGCCCUGGGCUUUAGAGGUGGAAUUGGCUGUGCACAAGGGAAAUACUGCGGGAGGAAGCGGAAGUAACCGCCCACCGUCACCGAUGACCUCAUGAACUUUGGUGCUACUGCAUGGUCCAGAAUGUAAAUCCCCACCAAGCUGAGACCCCCCUGGCCCCACGCUCCCGGCAGGGACCCCACGGCAGCGUCAGGGGCCGCCCCCCCACCUCGGGAACCCCC